AGAGUUUGAUCAUGGCUCAGGACGAACGCUGGCGGCGUGCCUAACACAUGCAAGUCGAACGGGGUCCAAGGUGGGGUAACCCACCGGAAGACCGAGUGGCGAACGGGUGAGUAACACGUGAGCAAUCUGCCCCGAAGUCGGGGAUAACUCGGGGAAACCCGAGCUAAUACCGGAUACCUCCGCCGGGUCGCAUGGCCUGGCGAAGAAAGAAUUUCGCUUCGGGAGGGGCUCGCGGCCUAUCAGCUUGUUGGUGAGGUAACGGCUCACCAAGGCGACGACGGGUAGCUGGUCUGAGAGGACGAUCAGCCACACUGGGACUGAGACACGGCCCAGACUCCUACGGGAGGCAGCAGUGGGGAAUCUUGCGCAAUGGGCGAAAGCCUGACGCAGCAACGCCGCGUGCGGGAGGAAGGCCUUCGGGUUGUAAACCGCGUUCAGCAGGGACGAAGAUGACGGUACCUGCAGAAGAAGCCCCGGCUAACUACGUGCCAGCAGCCGCGGUAAUUC
rnacentral:rRNA from 1 species